UGACAGUACUCCUACGGGGAGGCAGCAGUGGGGAAUAUUGCACAAUGGGCGCAAGCCUGAUGCAGCCAUGCCGCGUGUGUGAAGAAGGCCUUCGGGUUGUAAAGCACUUUCAGUCGUGAGGAAGGUAGUGUAGUUAAUAGCUGCAGUAUUUGACGUUAGCGACAGAAGAAGCACCGGCUAACUCCGUGCCAGCAGCCGCGGUAAUACGGAGGGUGCGAGCGUUAAUCGGAAUUACUGGGCGUAAAGCGCAUGCAGGUGGUUUGUUAAGUCAGAUGUGAAAGCCCGGGGCUCAACCUCGGAAUAGCAUUUGAAACUGGCAGACUAGAGUACUGUAGAGGGGGGUAGGAAUUUCAGGUGUAGCGGUGAAAUGCGUAGAGAUCUGAAGGAAUACCGGUGGCGAAGGCGGCCCCCUGGACAGAUACUGACACUCAGAUGCGAAAGCGUGGGGAGCAAACAGGAUUAGAUACCCUGGUAG
rnacentral:rRNA from 1 species